GGAAACUGUACCCAUGCCGCGAAUGGUACGGACCUUCCUGAAAUUGUGCAAAGCGUUCCUUGUGGUGUACCCCCAUCACCAUACAGUUUCCGCAGCCGAAAAUCCCCUCAAGAGGACCUCGGUUCGGGAGACGCUGAAUGACUGUUGCAAGGCACGGGGCAAACCGCAGUUCGCGGAUUGCAGGAUUUCACCGCAAGUCGCCGCA
rnacentral:misc_RNA from 1 species